rnacentral:rRNA from 1 species
AGAGUUUGAUCAUGGCUCAGAGUGAACGCUGGCGGCGUGCCUAACACAUGCAAGUCGAACGAGAACGGAACUAGCUUGCUAGUUUGUCAGCUAAGUGGCGCACGGGUGAGUAAUAUAUAGUUAAUCUGCCCCAAAGAAGAGAAUAAUUGUUGGAAACGACUUGUAAAUCUCUAUAUGCCUUUAUUACAUAAGUAAGCAAGGGAAACAUUUAUGGCUUUGGGAUGAGACUGUACGGUAUCAGUUUGUUGGUGAGGUAAUGGCUCACCAAGACUAUGACACCUAACUGGUUUGAGAGGAUGAUCAGUCACACUGGAACUGAGACACGGUCCAGACUCCUACGGGAGGCAGCAGUGGGGAAUAUUGCACAAUGGAGGAAACUCUGAUGCAGCAACGCCGCGUGGAGGAUGACACAUUUCGGUGCGUAAACUCCUUUUAUAUGAGAAGAUAAUGACGGUAUCAUAUGAAUAAGCACCGGCUAACUCCGUGCCAGCAGCCGCGGUAAUACGGGGGGUGCAAGCGUUACUCGGAAUCACUGGGCGUAAAGAGCAUGUAGGCUGGUAAUUAAGUUGGAAGUGAAAUCCUAUGGCUCAACCAUAGAACUGCUUCCAAAACUGAUUGCCUAGAGUAUGGGAGAGGUAGAUGGAAUUUCUGGUGUAGGGGUAAAAUCCGUACAGAUCAGAAGGAAUACCGAUUGCGAAGGCGAUCUACUGGAACAUUACUGACGCUGAGAUGCGAAAGCGUGGGGAGCAAACAGGAUUAGAUACCCUGGUAGUCCACGCCCUAAACGAUGCACACUAGUUGUUGCU